CAUUAUUGAAAUAAACCUGAUGGGUUGCUGCUGGCUCUCUAGGGAGCAUGUGCACACUUGUCAUCUUUAUAUCUCCACCUGUGCACCUUUUGUAGAUCUGGAUAUUUUUCUGAAUGCUUGCCAUUCAGGUUUGAGGAUUGACUUUUGUCUUUCCUUACAUUUCCAGGCCUAUGUUUUCUUCAUAUACACCAUUUAUGUUAUAGAAUGUAAUGAAAAGGGCCUUUGUGCCUACAAACCUUAUACAACUUUCAGCAACGGAUCUCUUGGCUCUCGCAUCGAUGAAGAACGCAGCGAAAUGCGAUAAGUAAUGUGAAUUGCAGAAUUCAGUGAAUCAUCGAAUCUUUGAACGCACCUUGCGCUCCUUGGUAUUCCGAGGAGCAUGCCUGUUUGAGUGUCAUUAAUAUAUCAACCUCCUCAGGUUUUGACUUGUCGAGUGUUUGGAUGUGGGGGUCUUUUGCUGGUCUCUUUUGAGGUCGGCUCCCCUAAAAUGCAUUAGCGGAACAAUUUGUUGACCCGUUCAUUGGUGUGAUAACUAUCUACGCUUUUGACGUGAAGCAGGUUCAGCUUCUAACAGUCCAUUGACUUGGACAAAUUUUCAUUAAUGUG
rnacentral:rRNA from 1 species